AACGCGACGGCGGGGGCGGUGGACUACGACUCCCAGGAAGCCUCGCGCGGGCGAGCCCCGAACCCGAGGACGCGGCGAGCGCGGCGCCCGGCCCUCUCCGGCAAGGACUGUCAAUGGAGGCGCGGGUGGUGGGAGCAAGAACAUGGCUGCACCUGGGGCCUGCGCGGCCGCCUGGGUGGGGGAGGGGAGCCGGGGCACGGGGGCGCAAAUCUAGGCCGGGGGUAGCCCCCGCCCCCUCACUGCCCGGAUGCAGCCGGCCUCAGCCACCGUCCAGGACUCGCACCCACUCUUGCACCCCAGAUUCCCUGCCGAUUGCGAGGCCGGAACUCGGCAGAGGCCGGGGAGCCCCAGCCGGCCUGCCGCUCUCGGUGCUCCGCCAAGGGACUUCCUCCGCGCUGCACCACCCUUCGGGACACAAAGAACUUCUGUUAGUUUUGAAAAGCUUGCCUCAAAAGCGUCCGAAAGAGACUGUUGCCCCAACUUUGGACGGGCGACGGGAGGGGACGCUCCUGUUUUUAUUUACCGCCCCUCACCCCAGGCUUGCUUUCCUCACGCCCCCUCACUCAACAUUUAGAAGGAAAGUUGAGGGAAAGCCACCGAGUGAGAGCAGAAAACCUGCCGUGUAGCCCGUUUUGUUCUGUCAACCGCGAAGAAAGGUUACCGAAACCUCUCCCCCCGCGACUAAUUCUUUUGCCUCUCAACUUGAGCUCUCGAAUUUCGAAAAGGAUGAGACAUUGCUGUUCACCUAAGCGAAACUCCAAAGUUUACCAAACUCGAGCCCCGAGGGCUUAGACAGUUCUGUAAAGCACAAGAUCGAGUGAUUUUGCGAUUUUUACCCCCCAGCGGAGAUGGGGGGGGGGGACCACGCCGGCCAUCCUCCCCCUCCCCCUCCUCCUCGGUAGGUGGCGACCACGGCGCUUUUUCCAGCCUUUGUCGCUGGAAAGAAAACUUUCCGAGCAGCCAGGCUUUUGAUGUAGGUCCAAGACCUUCCCUUUGACUCUUCGUUCCAGAUUGGCGUUCCCCAUCUUUCUUGCAAUAGACCGCACCCAUAAGGCAGCCGAAUCUAGAAUUUCCAUGCUGGGAUUCUUUAAGAUAGAGGGAGACUUUAAAGAUCCCUGCAGAAGCGGUCCGAUUGCAGAUUUCCACAUUUUUACGAUUUCCCCUGCAACGUUUUUACAGGCAUUUUGUCCCCGCCUAACCCGAUUGUGACUCUCCUUUGUCGAGUCUCUCCAAAGCGUUCAUUUCGUUUUCAUGAAAAGUUUUCUUUUUGCACUCGUAUUUCAUUAACAUACUGGACUAUUAAAUUGCGUAUUCCCAGUAGCACGUAAAAGUGACAUCUAUGUAAGGAACAAACCAAAUUUUGAGAAAGUCUGCAAUUGAGCUGAUGGGAGCAGUCAGCCUUCCAGGGACAAACAUUCAGCUGCUGUGAGCACCGGCUCCAUGCUGGGUGUGGAUCCCGAUGAGGGGCUUGAACUCACGACCCUGAGAUCAAAACCUGAGAUGAGAUCAAGAGGUGGAUGCUUAACCAACUGAGCCACCCAGUUACACCUGAGACUCCGUUAUAUAUAAAUGGGGAAUCAUGUUGCUAUAUGUGAGCAGCCCCGUGGAAAGGCCCAGAUGCUGGGAAAGUGAAGCCAUUGGCCAACAGCCACGUGAGCGAGCUUGGGAACAGAUUCUCCUGCCCCGAUUCCAGGAGGUGACUGCUACCCAACCAUGGCUGGAGUGCAAGCUCCUGGGACGCUCACAGCCAGAAGCACUCCUCCAGCUGCUCCUGGAUUCCUGACCCUCAGAACCAAUACUAGACAGGAACCAAGGUGCUGAGGCCCUGAGGACACCCUGAGAACACCCAAGGUCCCGGAGAGGAGAAACCCCUCAGCUGUGUGACGCCGGGCAAACUGAUUCACCUCUCUGAGCCAAAUGGGGAAAACAACGGGACGUGAGCCUCAAAGGAGACCAUGUGUCGGCAAGAGCCUGGUACCCCGCCUGACACGAAGCACGACUCGGCAGGUGUUCUGUUGCUACCGAAUUAAACUGCUGCUCCUUGCAAGUGGGCGACCCCUCUCAUGAGACGCUGCCACCGCCGCUGGAGGGCCAGUCAGGAGCUGUCAUCUGGUCGUGUCUAAUCUGCCGUCUGUUAGCCUGAGGAUUAACUGAAUUUUGCCUGAGGGAAGAAAGCAACCAAGCUUAUUAAAUCACAGCCACGCUACGUACACAAUUCCAAAGCAGUCGGCUCGGCUCGGGGGCAAAGUACGGGAACCCUCAACAGCUGUGUCCUCUCUCCACUAGUCUGAGGUCUGCAGCCAGACUGGUGACUGUGAACUGACAAUCGUGAUCCCAAGGGGGCAAAGGCGACGGGUCGGCAGCAAGGGAGGGGCUGCUCGGAGCGGGACAGACGCAAGGUGGGGAGGGAGGGAGAACGAUUUCUCCUCUCCCUUCUCCCAGCCCUUCCACGGGCCCCCUCCUCUCUGCCAGGCCUGGGCCGGGCGAUCCAGGCACAAGGCAGACUCUCAAAAGAACAGAGGGCAGACAGCCACGGGUGGCCCCACCUUGGCAGGACAGCUGCCCUCCACGUCCCCUGCUCAGGGGCCCGGGGGAGAUCAGGCGCCUGAUUUCACACACCCAAGAGAAACUUUUUACGUGUGCGAAAGGAAGCGCGUUCAAGAGCGCUCGCUAAUGGCACUCUUCUGAACAGGAAAACCACAGAAGCAGCCCAAAUGGCCUAGGACAGCCGAACGGACGGAAACCCAUGGAGCAGUGAGAACAAACCAGCGCAGCGUCACAUUUCAGGGUCACGUUACAUAAGGUCAAGUGAAAAGAGCGAGUCCAGACUUGAUACAUGAGGACGAACCUCGCUUAUCAAAGGGAAAAGCAAGCAAAGAGGAAAUACUUUUGGUUUAAGCAAACACUGCACACAACGAAGCCACUUAAGAAGUCGCCUUGGGGGGUGCCCGGGUGGCUCCGUCGGUCACGCGUCCGACUUC